rnacentral:rRNA from 1 species
UGGGGAAUAUUGCACAAUGGAGGGAACUCUGAUGCAGCAACGCCGCGUGCGGGAUGACGGCCUUCGGGUUGUAAACCGCUUUCAGCCAUGACGAAGCUUUUGUGACGGUAGUGGUAGAAGAAGCACCGGCUAACUACGUGCCAGCAGCCGCGGUGAUACGUAGGGUGCGAGCGUUGUCCGGAAUUAUUGGGCGUAAAGAGCUUGUAGGCGGUUUGUCGCGUCGAAAGUGUAAACUCAGUGCUUAACGCUGAGCCUGCUUUCGAUACGGGCUGACUAGAGGAGGGUAGGGGAGAAUGGAAUUCCCGGUGGAGCGGUGGAAUGCGCAGAUAUCGGGAGGGACACCAGUGGCGAAGGCGGUUCUCUGGACCUUUCCUGACGCUGAGAAGCGAAAGCGUGGGUAGCAAACAGG